rnacentral:rRNA from 1 species
GCCCUUGAGUUUGAUCCUGGCUCAGAAUGAACGCUGGCGGCGUGCUUAACACAUGCAAGUCGAACGAGAAAGGGAUUGCUUGCAAUCCUGAGUAGAGUGGCGCACGGGUGAGUAACACGUAGAUAAUCUACCUUCAAGCCCGGGAUAACUAUUCGAAAGGAUAGCUAAUACCGGAUAAAGUUGAUUAACAUAAGUUAAUUAAUGAAAGAUUGCCUCUGAUUUAAGCAAUUGUUUGGAGAUGAGUUUGCGGACCAUUAGUUUGUUGGUGGGGUAAAGGCCUACCAAGACUGCGAUGGUUAGCUGGUCUGAGAGGAUGAUCAGUCACACUGGAACUGGAACACGGUCCAGACUCCUACGGGAGGCAGCAGUGAGGAAUUUUGCGCAAUGGGGGAAACCCUGACGCAGCAACGCCGCGUGAGUGAAGAAGGCCUUUGGGUCGUAAAGCUCUGUCAACUGGGAAGAAAUUACAACUAUCUAACAGGUAGUUGUAUUGACGGUACCAGUGGAGGAAGCGCCGGCUAACUCCGUGCCAGCAGCCGCGGUAAUACGAAGGGC